UGCAAGUCAAGGGGUAGCAAUACACCGGCGUACGGGUGCGUAACGCGUAUGGAACCUGCCCUUAUCUGGGGGAUAACUCGGGGAAACUCGAGCUAAUACCGCAUAAGAUAGUAGAAUGGCAUCAUUCAGCUAUUAAAGAUUUAUUGGAUAAGGAUGGCCAUGCGUAAGAUUAGAUAGUUGGCGAGGUAACGGCUCACCAAGUCUACGAUCUUUAGGGGCUCUGAGAGGAGAAUCCCCCACACUGGCACUGAGAUACGGGCCAGACUCCUACGGGAGGCAGCAGUAGGGAAUAUUGGGCAAUGGGCGGAAGCCUGACCCAGCCACGCCGCGUGCAGGAAGACGGCCCUCUGGGUUGUAAACUGCUUUUAACUGGGAAGAAAAGAGGCCUUGCGAGGCAAGUUGACGGUACCAGUUGAAUAAGCCACGGCUAACUACGUGCCAGCAGCCGCGGUAAUACGUAGGUGGCGAGCGUUAUCCGGAUUUAUUGGGUUUAAAGGGAGCGUAGGCGGCUGAUUAAGUCAGCGGUGAAAGGUAGCAGCUUAACUGUUUUACAUGCCGUUGAUACUGGUUAGCUUGAGUUGACAGAAGGCAGAUAGAAUUCCUGAUGUAGCGGUGAAAUGCUUAGAUAUCAGGAGGAAUACCGAUUGCGAAGGCAGUCUGCUGCAGUCACACUGACGCUGAGGCUCGAAGGUGCGGGGAUCAAACAGGAUUAGAUACCCUGGUAGUCCGCACAGUAAACGAUGAUUACUAGAUGUUGGCCAAGCCAGUGUCCAAGGGAAACCGAUAAGUAAUCCACCUGGGGAGUACGCCGGCAACGGUGAAACU
rnacentral:rRNA from 1 species